rnacentral:rRNA from 1 species
UACAGAGGUCUCGAGCGUUGUUCGGAUUCAUUGGGCGUAAGGGUGCGUAGGUGGCGCCGUAAGUCGGGUGUGAAAUCCUGAGGCUUAACCUCGGAACUGCAUUCGAUACUGCGGUGCUUGAGGACUGGAGAGGAGACUGGAAUUCAUGGUGUAGCAGUGAAAUGCGUAGAUAUCUGGAGGAACACCGGUGGCGAAGGCGGCAUCCUGGACCGACACUGACGCUGAGGAGCGAAAGCCAGGGGAGCAAACGGG